AUAAGAACCUUCUAUCAUAGCUAGUUUUCCACUAACUCGAAACAAAAUUAGAAUUACCAACUUCCAGUACCUCGUUACAUUAUUGUUUGUGAAGAUAUAUACCUUAUAUGUUUUUUUAUUUUUUAAGAAUAUAUGAAAAGAGAUUUUAUUCAAAAGAAGAACCAAUUACGAAUUAUGGGAAUUGUGUGUGGAAGACAUAAUAGUCCCACGUGUUUCCCUACACUACCAGAAAUAGUUACAGGCUUAUCACCAUUGAUGAUAACUAUGAGCCAAUCAGACCCAACCCAAACCAGAAACGACGCUUCUCUAAACAGGUUACUCUAGUUGCCACAGUAUGCACCACACAAUUCGCAUUUCUUGUGAAAGUGUAACAUCCUGACCCAGAUUAAUAAAAAUUCUAAAUUUUCAACGAGUUUAAUUACCUUGGAUUAGACAAAUUCGAUAAAAUCGUAACUGGCUCAAGUUACCUUUGAAUUGAAAGAAGGGAGUGGGUACCUUAAUGUUUCCAAAUGAACCCAUGGUUUCUCUUUUACAAGAGUCCAAGAUCAUGAGGCCAGUUUUAACAUGAUCAAUAGGAUUGAUCCCGAGAUCGGAUCCUCUUCCCUCCCCCUGGAUUGAUCCGAGAAAUCUUUGUAUAUCCCCUUCUCAAGAUCGGUGUUCUAGAGAGGCCUCCUCUCCCGAGAGAGUUCUACAGCUCUCCCUAUCUUACAACCCAGAUAGGAAACCAAAACCAAAUCGAAACUGGAAAAGUAAACAAUCUGAGUAAUUGAAGUAUAAUAGUUACAGCUACUGGCCGAGAUAUUUCUAUGAGAUAGCUUUGAAUACCACAUCAGUAUACAUCAGUACACAGUUGCCAACGUGCUAUCAGAAACUAAACUGAUUAUGAUAAAACUGAAUAACUAUACAUCUAGGUAAAGGUAAAAAAGUCUGGAAUGGUUCCCUAUAGAAGUCAACAUAUAUACUCAUUCUGUAAUGCUUUAAGUUUAUUCUCAUGUUCUUGUUAGGUAUUUGAGUCCCCUUUAGGAUUACAACCAUGUUCUCGUUAGGUUCAUGUCUCCUUACUUUAUCAUCUUGUCUAUAAUUUUUGACAAAUGUGAGAGCUGGUAGCUAUAUAUAAGGGCUGGUAUAUCUACAUUGUAAUUCCACAACAACAAUGACCAAAGGCCACAUUUCUCUUGCCACAUUAUUAACAAAUGUGAGAGCUUUUACUGUUUAAGAUAUGAACCCCACCCCAUUUGAUAUCGUAGGUGAGACAUUGUCUCACAAUUGCAUAUAAUUAUGGCUAGGUAAUAUAUUAUUGUUUUUUACGUACUAAAACCUGACAGGGCUGUCAUCUCUCGCCUCCCCCUCUUUUCUUUGCUCCAACUUUUGCUAUUUUUUAAUUUUAAAAAUUCAAAUAUUUAUGAAAUAACUCACAAUGCUCCCAGUCUCCAACACUUGUAUCUUAUUUGUAGUUCUUUUCCCAUUCUUUUCUUCAUCUCUGUCCUUCACUUUAUCUUCCGCCUCUCUCUCUCUCUCUCUGCAGAACCAAAGUUCUGACCGCCUCGGAUUUCUUGACGAUCUCCGACUUCGAGCCAACGACCGCCUUCGACAUCACUU
rnacentral:lncRNA from 1 species